rnacentral:rRNA from 1 species
CCUACGGGAGGCAGCAGUGGGGAAUAUUGCACAAUGGGGGAAACCCUGAUGCAGCGACGCCGCGUGAGUGAAGAAGUAUUUCGGUAUGUAAAGCUCUAUCAGCAGGGAAGAAAAUGACGGUACCUGAUUAAGAAGCCCCGGCUAACUACGUGCCAGCAGCCGCGGUAAUACGUAGGGGGCAAGCGUUAUCCGGAUUUACUGGGGGUAAAGGGAGCGUAGACGGGAGCACAAGUCUGGAGUGAAAGGCCGGGGCUUAACCCCGGAACUGCUUUGGAAACUGUGCAGCUAGAGUGGAGGAGAGGUAAGGGGAAUGCUUAGUGUAGCGGUGAAAUGCGUAGAUAUUAGGAGGAACACCAGUGGCGAAGGUGGCUUACUGGACGGUACCUGACGUUGAGGCUCGAAAGCGUGGGGAGCGAACAGGAUUAGAUACCCCUGUAGUC